GUUUGAUGUUCUAACGUGGACCCGUAAUCCGGGUUGCGGACAGUGUCUGGUGGGUAGUUUGACUGGGGCGGUCUCCUCCUAAAGAGUAACGGAGGAGCACGAAGGUUGGCUAAUCCUGGUCGGACAUCAGGAGGUUAGUGCAAUGGCAUAAGCCAGCUUGACUGCGAGCGUGACGGCGCGAGCAGGUGCGAAAGCAGGUCAUAGUGAUCCGGUGGUUCUGAAUGGAAGGGCCAUCGCUCAACGGAUAAAAGGUACUCCGGGGAUAACAGGCUGAUACCGCCCAAGAGUUCAUAUCGACGGCGGUGUUUGGCACCUCGAUGUCGGCUCAUCACAUCCUGGGGCUGAAGUAGGUCCCAAGGGUAUGGCUGUUCGCCAUUUAAAGUGGUACGCGAGCUGGGUUUAGAACGUCGUGA
rnacentral:rRNA from 1 species